rnacentral:rRNA from 1 species
UACGGAGGAUCCAAGCGUUAUCCGGAUUUAUUGGGUUUAAAGGGUGCGUAGGUGGCUUUUUAAGUCAGGGGUGAAAGACGGUAGCUUAACUAUCGCAGUGCCUUUGAUACUGAAGAGCUUGAAUGAACUAGAGGUAGGCGGAAUGUGACAAGUAGCGGUGAAAUGCAUAGAUAUGUCACAGAACACCAAUUGCGAAGGCAGCUUACUAUGGUUUUAUUGACACUGAGGCACGAAAGCGUGGGGAGCAAACAGG